rnacentral:rRNA from 1 species
UACGUAGGGCGCAAGCGUUAUCCGGAAUUAUUGGGCGUAAAGAGCUCGUAGGCGGUUUGUCGCGUCUGACGUGAAAGUCCGGGGCUCAACUCCGGAUCUGCGGUGGGUACGGGCAGACUAGAGUGAUGUAGGGGAGACUGGAAUUCCUGGUGUAGCGGUGAAAUGCGCAGAUAUCAGGAGGAACACCGAUGGCGAAGGCGGGUCUCUGGGCAUUAACUGACGCUGAGGAGCGAAAGCAUGGGGAGCGAACAGG